GAAAGUCUAGUUUAGUAACAUUUCUAACAUUUGCUCUGGCAUUCUUUAUGAGAAACAGAGAAGAUGUAACAAAUUGUGGUGUAUCUGAAUAGUUCUAAGCUACCUGGAAUUCCAGUUUAACAUCAGAAUUCAGGAGCUUGGAAUUCACCCUGGCUUGCUAUUUCACUACCUUCUCAUGUUCCUUCAGGAAUGGAUAAAAUAAUAAAUACCACCAUAAUUUAUUGCUUAGAGAAAGCUGUUAUCAAAUUUAUUAUUGUUUUAAACCUACAGAAAUUUUUCACAGAUGGACUAAUGAGGCAGGAGAAGAGGUCUAGGGGAAACUUCCUUUAUCUGCUUGUUAUUUACACAGUAGUCCAAGAAUACAUUGUGGAAAUAAUGUCCUAUGGUUUCCAAGUCUUUCAUAUUGCAAGCGGUGUUUGUCUGCAGCCUGAAGCAUCAGUCUCCUGAGCAGGAGGGACAACUGGCCACACUCAAAGGCAGCAGUUUUCUUCUCCUUGGUUGGAAAGCUUCAUUAAUGAAGGCUGAGAAUCACAAUACCACAAGACCCACUUUGCUGGAGAGCUGUACAGGCUGAAAUAAGGAUCACUGCCAGUUGCCUGUGCAUGAAGUUCAAGUCAGUAAUAAAAAAACAUGGAAAGUUGCAUUUUUGAAGAACAGCAACUGUAAGACUGUAAGCGAAAUCCCUGUCCUUCUUUACAGAAAGGCAGGGAGCUGAGAUUCAGACUGUUCCUCCACAUCUUAUCCUUUGCAGUAAAUUAGCAUGUCUGGUUGCAAAUGCCUUGUUUGCUUACAUGCCUUUACUAACUGUAUCUGCCUCAAGAAAGGUACCAAAUCCCUUUCAGUUUUGUGCUUCAGAACGUUUUGUGGCCACAACUAGUUAUCCUACGAUUGCAAAACUAUUAUAAUCCUUUCUUAUCCAUGUAGAAGUAUCCCAGGAUCAAGAUCAACAACUGCCAGAAGUUCCAAGUUCAUCCAAGGCAACUGGAUCAACUUAACAAACACAGGAAAGAAUAAAUAAAUCUGAUAGUCAGCCAGUGACAGUGGAAUAAGGCAACUAACUCCCUUCAACUCUGUCCAAUGAAUCCUUGCCAGACAGAAAAGCCUGUAUUCAAGAACUGAUCCAAUCUGACCAGGUUUUGUUUAUAAAUUUUGGCAAAAACAUGUUAUUCUUCCAGCACAGACUUCAGUGUUGAUGUUGCAGUUACACAGCUCUCAUCUUUUUCACUUACUCUUUUGGCUCUUAUCUUUCUUUGCUCAUAUUUUCUCAACAGACUCAUUUUAAGCUGGUUCAUAUUGUUUUUCACUGAGAACAAUGGCUUGAGCUGAGCUGGAUUUCUGGGAUAAGUAACAGGAGAAGCAGAACUUAAAGAAGAUGAGGCAGAUGUGUAACUAUGUGACUAGUUUUCUUCUCCAUCUAUAGGAAAAUAAUUUAUUCCCAAGUGCUUUAAUGGAAAAUGACAUUGAUUCAUCAGGCUUUGUAUUGUAUUUUUAAGGAGAUCAAAGCAAGUGCUUCAUCUACCUACAUCUGACAGCAAGAUUUCUUAAGGCUGUUCCCAUCUUCUCCUAGAUAAAUUGCUUCUAGAUAAAACUCCUUUUUCAGGAGUUUGCUAUGGCAGCAUUGUGUC
ensembl:lncRNA